AACGAACGCUGGCGGCAUGCCUAACACAUGCAAGUCGAACGAGACCUUCGGGUCUAGUGGCGCACGGGUGAGUAACGCGUGGGAACCUGCCCUUAGGUUCGGAAUAACUCCCCGAAAGGGGUGCUAAUACCGGAUAAUGUCUUCGGACCAAAGAUUUAUCGCCUUUGGAUGGGCCCGCGUUGGAUUAGCUAGUUGGUAGGGUAAAAGCCUACCAAGGCGACGAUCCAUAGCUGGUCUGAGAGGAUGAUCAGCCACACUGGGACUGAGACACGGCCCAGACUCCUACGGGAAGCAGCAGUGGGGAAUAUUGGACAAUGGGCGAAAGCCUGAUCCAGCAAUGCCGCGUGAGUGAUGAAGGCCUUAGGGUUGUAAAGCUCUUUUACCCGGGAUGAUAAUGACAGUACCGGGAGAAUAAGCUCCGGCUAACUCCGUG
rnacentral:rRNA from 1 species